rnacentral:rRNA from 1 species
AUGGACGUGACCUUCGUGUGCUCGUCGUCGGGGGAGGCGCCGUUCAAGAUGGAGGUGGGCUUCUUCGACACCGUCAUGGACAUCAAGCAGAAGCUCCAGGGGCGCAACGGGUGGCCCGCCGCCGCGCUGUCCCUCUUCCACGACGGCGGCGCGCUCGUGGACGACGACGACGCCGGCGCCGCCGGCGUCACCGAGCGGUACGGCGUCGUGGAGGGCUCCGUCAUCCACGUCGCCCUCGACGGCGACGACAGGCGGCCGCGUCAGGAGAAGAAGAGUGGGGUCAGGAGGCCAAAGGCCCGGCGAGACGGCGUCGCCGCGCCGGCGCCGGCGCCGCUGCGGGUGACGGUGGUGUCGCGGUGCGGCGCGGGGCGCGUGGAGGUGGCGGUGCGCGCGCGGGGGGCGGUGUCGGCGCUGCGCGGGGAGCUGGAGCGGGGCGCGGCGUCCGGGUCCGGGUUCCCGCUGCCGCCGGGCGGCGGCUACUUCUUCAUACACGGGCAGAGCGUGAUGGACGAGGCGCGGUCGUUCGAGUGGCAUGGCGUGGCCGCCGGCGACGAAGUCGUCGUCUUCGAGGGCUCCGUCACCAGAGCGCCGGCGUGCUGA